UACGUAGGUGGCAAGCGUUAUCCGGAAUUAUUGGGCGUAAAGAGCGCGCAGGUGGUUAAUUAAGUCUGAUGUGAAAGCCCACGGCUUAACCGUGGAGGGUCAUUGGAAACUGGUUGACUUGAGUGCAGAAGAGGGAUGUGGAAUUCCAUGUGUAGCGGUGAAAUGCGUAGAGAUAUGGAGGAACACCAGUGGCGAAGGCGGCUUCCUGGUCUGCAACUGACACUGAGGCGCGAAAGCGUGGGGAGCAAACAGG
rnacentral:rRNA from 1 species